rnacentral:rRNA from 1 species
UUAAAUUGAAGAGUUUGAUCAUUGCUCAGAUUGAACGCUGGCGGCAGGCCUAACACAUGCAAGUCGAACGGUAACAGGAAGCAGCUUGCUGCUUCGCUGACGAGUGGCGGACGGGUGAGUAAUGUCUGGGAAACUGCCUGAUGGAGGGGGAUAACUACUGGAAACGGUAGCUAAUACCGCAUAACGUCGCAAGACCAAAGAGGGGGACCUUCGGGCCUCUUGCCAUCGGAUGUGCCCAGAUGGGAUUAGCUUGUUGGUGGGGUAACGGCUCACCAAGGCGACGAUCCCUAGCUGGUCUGAGAGGAUGACCAGCCACACUGGAACUGAGACACGGUCCAGACUCCUACGGGAGGCAGCAGUGGGGAAUAUUGCACAAUGGGCGCAAGCCUGAUGCAGCCAUGCCGCGUGUAUGAAGAAGGCCUUCGGGUUGUAAAGUACUUUCAGCGGGGAGGAAGGGAGUAAAGUUAAUACCUUUGCUCAUUGACGUUACCCGCAGAAGAAGCACCGGCUAACUCCGUGCCAGCAGCCGCGGUAAUACGGAGGGUGCAAGCGUUAAUCGGAAUUACUGGGCGUAAAGCGCACGCAGGCGGUUUGUUAAGUCAGAUGUGAAAUCCCCGGGCUCAACCUGGGAACUGCAUCUGAUACUGGCAAGCUUGAGUCUCGUAGAGGGGGGUAGAAUUCCAGGUGUAGCGGUGAAAUGCGUAGAGAUCUGGAGGAAUACCGGUGGCGAAGGCGGCCCCCUGGACGAAGACUGACGCUCAGGUGCGAAAGCGUGGGGAGCAAACAGGAUUAGAUACCCUGGUAGUCCACGCCGUAAACGAUGUCGACUUGGAGGUUGUGCCCUUGAGGCGUGGCUUCCGGAGCUAACGCGUUAAGUCGACCGCCUGGGGAGUACGGCCGCAAGGUUAAAACUCAAAUGAAUUGACGGGGGCCCGCACAAGCGGUGGAGCAUGUGGUUUAAUUCGAUGCAACGCGAAGAACCUUACCUGGUCUUGACAUCCACGGAAGUUUUCAGAGAUGAGAAUGUGCCUUCGGGAACCGUGAGACAGGUGCUGCAUGGCUGUCGUCAGCUCGUGUUGUGAAAUGUUGGGUUAAGUCCCGCAACGAGCGCAACCCUUAUCCUUUGUUGCCAGCGGUCCGGCCGGGAACUCAAAGGAGACUGCCAGUGAUAAACUGGAGGAAGGUGGGGAUGACGUCAAGUCAUCAUGGCCCUUACGACCAGGGCUACACACGUGCUACAAUGGCGCAUACAAAGAGAAGCGACCUCGCGAGAGCAAGCGGACCUCAUAAAGUGCGUCGUAGUCCGGAUUGGAGUCUGCAACUCGACUCCAUGAAGUCGGAAUCGCUAGUAAUCGUGGAUCAGAAUGCCACGGUGAAUACGUUCCCGGGCCUUGUACACACCGCCCGUCACACCAUGGGAGUGGGUUGCAAAAGAAGUAGGUAGCUUAACCUUCGGGAGGGCGCUUACCACUUUGUGAUUCAUGACUGGGGUGAAGUCGUAACAAGGUAACCGUAGGGGAACCUGCGGUUGGAUCACCUCCUUACCUUAAAGAAGC